GACAGAGGGUGCAAACGUUGUUCGGAAUUACUGGGCAUAAAGCGCACGUAGGUGGUCCGCUAAGUCGCGUGUGAAAUCCCCCGGCUCAACCGGGGAAAUGCGCGUGAUACUGGCGGGCUUGAGAUCGGGAGGGGUGAAUGGAACUCCAGGUGGAGCGGUGAAAUGCGUAGAUAUCUGGAGGAACACCGGUGGCGAAGGCGACAUCCUGGACCGGUAUUGACGCUGAGGCGCGAAAGCCAGGGGAGCAAACGGG
rnacentral:rRNA from 1 species